CCUUUCUCGUACACUAAGUGUACUGGAAAGGCUAUAUGUUCACUCCAAAAACGACUUUUUGAUAGAAAGCUCGGAGGGUCGAAUCACAUAUACCAAUCAACUCAGUUCGACGAAUUGAGCAAAUGUCUGUAUGUGUGUAUGUAUGUGUAUGUGUGUAUGUGUGUGUAUGUGUGUAUGUAUGUCUGUGUACAAAAAAGGUCACAUCACUUUUUUGAACUAAACCUCAACCGAUUUUAAUGACCGACGGUUCAUUCGACGGGGAAUCUGGUCCCAUUGUUUCCUAUUGACAAUGGUUCGGAUCGGUCCAGCCGUUCCGGAGUUAUGGCCAUUUAGGUGUUCCGGACCGGUACCCCAGGAAGGGGCCAGAUAUAAAACGCUACAAACCCAUUCAUGCGACACAUCAAACUACGGCAUUUUCGAUAACUUGAUGAACGGUAAGCAGAAAAAUGGUCUCAGACCAUAUCUGAACCGGUAGCGUCCCGGAGCCGGUUCCGGGUGUCCCACCGGAAGUGGCCAAACAUAAAAGUGCACUAAACCCAUGCAUGCGGCAUAUCAAACCGCAGCUUUUUCGAUACCCUGAUGAACAGUAAGAAGGAAUACAUUCUCAGACCAUAUCGGAACCGGUAGUAUUCCGGAACCGGUUCCAGAUGUCCCGCUAGAGGUGGCCAAGUAUAGAAGUUAACCAAACCCAUGCAUGCGACAUAUCAAAUAGUGGCUUUUUUGACAUCCUGAUGAAAGGUAAGCAGGAAAAUAUUCUCCGACCAUAUUUGAACCGGUUGUGUUCCGGAACUGGUUUCGGGUGUCCCGCCGGAAGUGGCCAAAUAUAAAAUUGAACUAAAACCAUGCAUGUGACAUAUCAAACCGCGGCUUUUUCGAUAACCUGAUGAACAGUAUGCAGGAAAGCAUUCUCAGAACAUAUCGGAACCAGUAGUGUUCCGAAACCGGUUCCAGAUGUCCCGCCAGAGGUGGCCAAGUUUCAAAGUUAACCAAACCCAUGCAUGCGACAUAUCAAAUAGUGGCUUUUUUGAUAUCCUGAUGAACAGUCAGCAGGAAAAUAUUCUCAGACCAUAUGUAUCUGAACCGGUAGUGAUCCGGAACCGGUUCCGGGUGUCCCACCGGAAAUGGCCAAACAAAAAAGUGAACCAAACCCAUGCGACAAAUCAAAUCGCGGAUUUUUAGGUAUCUUGAUUUGGCAAAAAAAAAAGUUUCCGGCCAUAUUUGGAACAAACCGGUAGUAUUCCUCACCGAUUAAGGGUGCCCCAUCGGAAGUGGUCAAAUGUAAAGGAGAACCAAUUCCAUAAAUAGCUGUUUUGGUAACCUGAUGAACGGUUAACAAGAGAAACAAUCAUAGACCACACUUUGGAAAACCAAUACUGUGCCGAAACCGGUUCCAGGUGCUCCGCCGGAAGUGGUCAAAUGUAGAACGGAACCAAACGCAUGCACACCGCGCAUUAAAUAUCGGCUUUUUAGAUGACGCGCAGAACGGUCAGCAAGAAAAGUCUCAGGCCACUUUAAGACUACCGGUAGUGUACCGGAACCACUUUCGAGUGUCUAGCCGGAACUGGCGAAAUGCACAAAUAAGUGUUUGACAGUACAUCAAAUAGCAGCUUUUUUGAAUACACGAUGAUCGAUUCGUAAGAACAUAGCCUCAGACCAUAUUUUAGACAACCGGUAGUGUCCCGAAACCAGUUCUGGGUGUCCCACUGGAAGUGGUCAAAUGUAAAAGUGAUCUAUACCCACCCAUGCAUGAGAUAAAUCAAAUGGUGUUUUUGGGUAACCUAAUGAACGUUAGCAAUGAAAUAGUCUCAGACUAUAUUUGGGAGACCCGGUGUGCUCCGGAACCUGUUCCGGUACCGCAUCGAAAGUAACCAAAUGUACCAUGCAACAUAUUACAU